rnacentral:lncRNA from 1 species
CGUCAUUGCUUUCCCCUUCCCAGACCAUCACUACAUCCAGACAUCAUUAUAGGACAGAUUGAGCUUUCUUAACAUGUAGGCAGAGGACACAAUCAUUCAUGAAUAUUGUAUAAUGGAUUUAGAGUCCUACGUCUUGGAUUCAAAUCCUGAACUGUGUGACUUUGCCCAGGUUACUCCCCACUUCCUCACCCCCUUGAGUUUUAUUCUUCUCAUCUAUAAAAUGGGAGAGUUAGAUUAGAUGAUCUCAAAUAUCUUCCAGCCCUAUGACUAAAAUACCAUAUUUCUCUCAUUUGAAAGUAGAUUCUCAAUCCUUUUCCAGUCACACAUUAAAGGGGAUAAAAGAAGAGAAAAGGAAAGACAAGAAAAGGUGAGGAGAGGAAGUUAGAAGGACUGCAGACCUGAUUAGAAGUAAGGAAGUGGAAUAAAGCUUUUAAAAGGCUAAGAAUAAAGCUUCACAUUUCAUUUACCAAGUGUUUUCCUCACAAUAGCCUUGUGAAUUGCAGGAUUAUUUGCACUGCUUGUAUUCUGGCCUUUUUUUACCCAUGAGGAAACUGAGGCAAUGAUGUAUGAAAUGACUUGUCCUCAGUCUUGAGGCAAACAAUGAGCUGAUUGUGACCUUCUGGCACCAAGCCCAGGGGUUCUAUUAUGUCAGGCUCAGUCAACACUGGAGGGCUCUCAUCAUCCUUUCCCAAUUCCAUACAGGGGGCAUGGCUUAGAAUUUAAAUGAAGUCAAAGAAGUCCAGAAGGAAGUGAUAUGGGGUCUCUGUGUCCCCCUUCCUGUUUCCCUGCUCCUUCCUAGCCCAGCUAAUCCCCCUUGCUCUUUGUGCCUCCCUGUAAUUUCUGCCUCUGCUGGUCCUGGGCCUGGAUGUGCCAUAUCCUAUAAGCAGGAAAUCCCCUUUGCCUUAAACAUCGAUGGGUGAUACAUGAAUAAGCCUAGAUGAAAAAAGCCCAAUAUCAUCAAUGGGCAUAGGAUCCAAGAGAUUAAGUGAAAGAUUUGCCUCUUACCAUGCCUGGUUUCCUUCAGUUCAGAACUCAUCUUCUGCAGAACAUCUCUGUGCCAGCCCUCCCAUACCCCACUGCGAGAGUUUCCCCAGGAGACAACCCACAUGGACUGCUUCUGUCUUGGAAAGAAAAUAUCUCCCAGACUGUUUUUCACAGGAAACUUAAAAAGCCCUAGGGAAUCCUAAAGAUUGAGGAUCCAAUGAGUUUACUUAAGUUUUUAUCCAGUUCAAUUGAUUUAAAGGAAAUAGAGUGAACUUUAUACCUUAUCUUAUUUCUAAUGAGCUCAUCCAUCCCCACCAAGUUUGGCUCUCUAGAGGUGCAUGCAUAUGCUUGAGAAAAAGAUCCCAAGGUGGACACAGUCAGCUUUAAAGAUGGAAUGUCUAAGACAAAUAAUCCUCAGAACAGAAGAGCUAUUGCAUGUUAUGGCUUUCUGGUCUGCUUCAGGAUCUGAGACUGAUAAAUAGGACCAAGCACAACAAAUGAUUUUGAGAGAGAUGAAAUAUAGUGCCCCUAAAUGACUUUUAAUCAAAAUAAGAUAAGAUGUCUAAAAGGCCCUAUCCAUAGCCAUUACUGUCUGUUGCAUAUGUACCCGUCUUCUGAAAAGUUCUCCCUCCUCCCAAGUCUAUAAUAAUUACCUAAACCAGGGAUUUUUAAUCUAUUUUCUAUUAUAAAUCCCUUUGUUAGGAAAUGCUGGACCUUACACAAUUGUUGUUUACUUUAUGAACUGAUAUCUCCUUGAAAUGUGUUAGCACUUAAAAUGGCCAUAGGGUCAUAGAUUUAGCACCCUUGGAAACUUUUAAGGUUCCUAGGCUCAAUACCCUCAUUUUUUAGACAAGGAAACUGAGGCCCCAGAGAAGGCAGGUGAUUAUAUGCUAUUAUAUGGCAGAGUCAGGUUUCGUUCCCAUUUCUGCUGACUCCAAAAAACAGUUCAUUUUGUACUGUGACAUGGUCUCUUGACAAUAACUUUGGAGUGAUUUUACAUAUAUCAAAUUCGUGAUGCUAAAAUCAAAGGCAAUGUUGAAAUAGUCAGAUUGUUUUUCUGCUGCAAAUUAAUUGGUCAAUUUAUCACCACUCAGUUGUCUGAGAAGAAGCAUGCUACAAGAAAAUUUCUUGUUUUUUCUGCAUAUUCAUCACCUAGCUCAUUUCCUGAUUCAGAAUCUAUUUUCAUUUCAUUAAUGGCCAUGAAAACAGCUGAUGCAGGAGCUGUGCCAUACUUUGAACUUGGUCAGACAUUGAAGAUCCCAAAGUUAUCUACUGUAUCCUGAGCUAUCAGCUCUUAUCUUGAAUUUCUCAUCAUUGGACAUCAAUGACUCUGGAAAUGACAUCUGAUGACUGACUGUGCAAAUCUGUCUCACUUAAAUCCAAUUCAUGUGAAGUCAAGACAUCAUUCUGUGAUAUCACAGGUAUUUCUCAAAAAUAAAGGGUGAACAACAACAACCAAAAAGGUAGUCUUGGAUAGUUCUCUCCCUCUUUGGCCCCAAGUCCUCAUAUUUCUCAUCACAAAAUAAAGAAUUUGAGGCAGCAUAAUGGGAGUGGAAAGAGUAUUAUCAUAGGAAUUCAAGCACUUGAGUUCCAAUCCCGACUUUGUCAUUUAUUCCCUAUGUCUCCUUUGGCAAGUUAAAACCUCUCCAUUCAUCAUCUGUCAAAAAAAAAAAAAAAAAGCUUCUGGAAUAGAUUACUUUGAAGUUCCCUUCCAGCUCUGAUCUAUAGAUUGAAGGGAGCUUGCAAAACCC